rnacentral:rRNA from 1 species
AGAGUUUGAUCAUGGCUCAGGAUGAACGCUAGCUACAGGCUUAACACAUGCAAGUCGAGGGGCAGCAUGAGAUUAGCUUGCUAAUCUUGAUGGCGACCGGCGCACGGGUGAGUAACGCGUAUCCAACCUUCCCCCUACUCAGGGGAUAGCCCGGUGAAAACCGGAUUAACACCUGAUAGUUUCACUAGAUGGCAUCUGACGGUGAAUAAAGCUUUUGCGGUAGAGGAUGGGGAUGCGUCUGAUUAGCUUGUUGGCGGGGUAACGGCCCACCAAGGCGACGAUCAGUAGGGGUUCUGAGAGGAAGGUCCCCCACAUUGGAACUGAGACACGGUCCAAACUCCUACGGGAGGCAGCAGUGAGGAAUAUUGGUCAAUGGGCGCGAGCCUGAACCAGCCAAGUUAAGCGUGCAGGAAGACGGCCCUAUGGGUUGUAAACUGCUUUUGUACGGGAAUAAAGUCAGGGACGUGUCCCUGUUUGCAUGUACCGUAAGAAUAAGGACCGGCUAAUUCCGUGCCAGCAGCCGC